CCUACGGGAGACAGCAGUGAGGAAUAUUGGUCAAUGGACGAGAGUCUGAACCAGCCAAGUAGCGUGAAGGAUGACUGCCCUAUGGGUUGUAAACUUCUUUUAUAUGGGAAUAAAAUGUUCCACGUGUGGGAUUUUGUAUGUACCAUAUGAAUAAGGAUCGGCUAACUCCGUGCCAGCAGCCGCGGUAAUACGGAGGAUCCGAGCGUUAUCCGGAUUUAUUGGGUUUAAAGGGAGCGUAGGUGGAUUGUUAAGUCAGUUGUGAAAGUUUGCGGCUCAACCGUAAAAUUGCAGUUGAAACUGGCAGUCUUGAGUACAGUAGAGGUGGGCGGAAUUCGUGGUGUAGCGGUGAAAUGCUUAGAUAUCACGAAGAACUCCGAUUGCGAAGGCAGUUCACUGGACUGCAACUGACACUGAGGCUCGAAAGUGUGGGUAUCAAACAGGAUUAGAUACCCCAGUAGAC
rnacentral:rRNA from 1 species